GAGUUGGAAUAUGCAUUUUGAUAAGGUUAUCAGAACAUAUGGCUUCGUUAGGAAUGGAGACGAAUCCUGUAUUUGCAAAUGGGUAAACAACUUUGUGGUUGUAUUUUUUGUUUGGUAUAUGGAUGACAUUCUCUUAAUCGAUAAUAACAUUCUUGCAUUACAAGAAUAAAAGUUUAGUUAUCAUCUCAAUUCUCUAUGAAGGACUUGGGAGAAGCAUCCUACAU
rnacentral:lncRNA from 1 species